rnacentral:tRNA from 1 species
GGAAAGGUGGCUGAGUGGCUUAAGGCGAUGGAUUGCUAAUCCGUUGUACUGCAACCGCGGUACCGGGGGUUCGAAUCCCCCCCUUUCCGCCA